CCAGAGAACUUAGCAGAGAUGCUUGGUGCCUUCGGGAACUCUGAGACAGGUGCUGCAUGGCUGUCGUCAGCUCGUGUUGUGAAAUGUUGGGUUAAGUCCCGCAACGAGCGCAACCCUUAUCCUUUGUUGCCAGCGGUCCGGCCGGGAACUCAAAGGAGACUGCCAGUGAUAAACUGGAGGAAGGUGGGGAUGACGUCAAGUCAUCGUGGCCCUUACGAGUAGGGCUACACACGUGCUACAAUGGCGCAUACAAAGAGAAGCGACCUCGCGAGAGCAAGCGGACCUCAUAAAGUGCGUCGUAGUCCGGAUUGGAGUCUGCAACUCGACUCCAUGAAGUCGGAAUCGCUAGUAAUCGUGGAUCAGAAUGCCACGGUGAAUACGUUCCCGGGCCUUGUACACACCGCCCGUCACACCAUGGGAGUGGGUUGCAAAAGAAGUAGGUAGCUUAACCUUCGGGAGGGCGCUUACCACUUUGUGAUUCAUGACUGGGGUGAAGUCGUAACAAGGUAAGCGUAGUGCU
rnacentral:rRNA from 1 species